rnacentral:ncRNA from 1 species
AUUGUCUAAUAUACCAGCAGGAGUGGAGCCUGCGGCUUAAUUUGACUCGAAACGGGGAAACUUACUAGGUCCAAACAUCGUAAGGAUUGACAGACUGAGAGCUCUUUCUUGAUUCUAUAGGUGGUGGUGCUUGGCCAUUCUUAGUUGGUGGAGUGAUUUGUCUAGUUAAUUCUGUUAACGAACGACACCUGAACCUGCUAACUAGCUAUGCGGAGGUAUCCCUUCGUGGCUAGCUUCUUAGAGGGACUAUAGCCUUCUAGGCCAAGGAAGUUUGAGGCAAUAAUAGGUGUGAUGCCCUUACAUGUUUUGGGCUGCACGAGCGCUACACAGAUGUAUUCAACGAGUCUAUAGCCUUGGCCGACAAGCCCGGGUAAUCUUUGAAAUUUCAUCGUGAUGGGGAUAGAUCAUUGCAAUUGUUAGUCUUCAACGAGGAAUUCCUAGUAAGCGUGAGUCAUCAACUUGCAUUGACUAUGUCCCUGUCCUUUGUACA